AUGUUGUCACCCACCUUGGAGUUGGCGUGUUGGAACGUGCGCGGUCUCAAUAGUUCGGUCAAGAAGAAGGCGCUUCGGGAGUUUGCGGAUACGGCACACCCUUCGAUUUUUUGUAUCCAAGAGACUAAACUCGCCUGUAUUGAUACUUUAAUGGUGAUGCAAUGCCUGGGCCCAGUGUACGAUGGGCUUUACUACUUCCCAGCCUCUGACACUAGGGGUGGAGUCCUAUUAUCUUGGAAAUCGGAGUUGGUGAGCAUCACGAAUUGCGUGCGGGACACGAACUUCAUUUCUAGCUUCGUUUCGCCCACGGAUUGUGCGCCCUGGUGGCUUACCACGGUUUACGGCCCCCGGGAGGAUCAGGAAAAAAUGAUUUUCCUUGUGGAAUUGGACGCUAGGAGAGCGCUAUGGCCGAGAGCAUGGCUGGUUAUUGGAGACUUUAACAUGAUCCUCCAAGCCACGAACAAGAACAACUCGCUCAUUGAUAGAUGCAUGAUGCAUAAAUUCCGCUAG
rnacentral:rRNA from 1 species